GUGGGGAAUCUUAGACAAUGGGCGCAAGCCUGAUCUAGCUAUGCCGCGUGAGCGAUGAAGGCCUUAGGGUUGUAAAGCUCUUUCGUGGGGGAAGAUAAUGACUGUACCCCAAGAAGAAGCCCCGGCUAACUCCGUGCCAGCAGCCGCGGUAAUACGGAGGGGGCUAGCGUUGUUCGGAAUUACUGGGCGUAAAGCGCACGUAGGCGGACUGGAAAGUCAGGGGUGAAAUCCCGGGGCUCAACCCCGGAACUGCCUUGGAAACUCCCAGUCUUGAGUUCGAGAGAGGUGAGUGGAAUUCCGAGUGUAGAGGUGAAAUUCGUAGAUAUUCGGAGGAACACCAGUGGCGAAGGCGGCUCACUGGCUCGAUACUGACGCUGAGGUGCGAAAGCGUGGGGAGCAAACAGGAUUAGAUACCCUUGUAGUCC
rnacentral:rRNA from 1 species